rnacentral:rRNA from 1 species
UACGUAGGGUGCGAGCGUUGUCCGGAAUUAUUGGGCGUAAAGAGCUCGUAGGCGGUGUGUCACGUCGGCCGUGAAAACCUGGGGCUUAACUCUGGGCGUGCGGUCGAUACGGGCAUCACUAGAGUUCGGCAGGGGAGACUGGAAUUCCUGGGUCGUAGCGGUGAAAUGCGCAGAUAUCUGGAGGAACACCAGUGGCGAAGGCGACUACCUGGCCUGUUCUUGACGCUGAGGCGCGAAAGCGUGGGGAGCA